CGAGAUCGCGUUAUGUUCUUCCUGCGUGAUUAUGUCACAUUCCUGACCAAUCAACAUGCUACACUUAGCAACAAGCAACAUCUUAGUAGAGCCGGUGCAGCCAGCAAGACAGGGAGAAACGUAUGUGAUGCCGUUCUCUCCACAGACUGGGUCCCAGUCACCCGCUGAACAAAAACAGUCGGAGUUGCAGGCUGUGAACACUGAGUGCUUAUCAUAUGAUAUCGUAUCCAUGCUAGAAUGAUGAGAAAGCAUAAAUGAGACGCAAUUACUUAUUAUGCCAUUACACUGGAUAUUCAAUUUGUCAUCGCACACAUAAGUUUACGUUUAAAUGCUUCCUAUAGUUGUAAUGCAUUAGUAAAAUAAAUGCUGUGGGUUGAAGCAACAUUACCAGAAGAAACUAUGGGGGAAAAAAUUACCUUUGAGAGAAAAUAAUGUUAUAAUGUAUUCCUUGCUGGGUUUUAAUUGUGUGUGCACCUAUCGGCGCUGCUUUUAAUCUGUUUUGUCAGCAGUGUCACUUCGGUUGUGUCUGCUGCUGAACCUGAGUUUUAACUAAAUGUUGUCUGUCUACUAAAUGUUGUCUGUCUAAACCUGUAUCCACUCCCCCCUACCCUCAAGAGGCUACUCAACUCUUGCCAAGCCGUCCUCCUAAAUAAGAAGUUGUUCUUAAGAGUCUUGCCUGGUUAAAUAAAGGUUUAAUAAAAAUAAAUAAAUAAAAAUAAUAAUUAA